GGCUGUGGCUCAGUGUUUGAGCAUCUGCCUGGCACACAGAGAGUCCCAGGUUCAAUCCCCGGUAUCGCCA
rnacentral:tRNA from 1 species